rnacentral:rRNA from 1 species
AUACGGAGGAUGCGAGCGUUAUCCGGAUUUAUUGGGUUUAAAGGGUGCGUAGGUGGUAGAUUAAGUCAGCGGUGAAAGUUUGUCGCUCAACGAUAAAAUUGCCGUUGAUACUGGUUUACUUGAGUAUAGUUGAAGUAGGCGGAAUGCGUGGUGUAGCGGUGAAAUGCAUAGAUAUCACGCAGAACUCCGAUUGCGAAGGCAGCUUACUAAGUUAUAACUGACACUGAAGCACGAAGGCGUGGGUAUCAAACAGGAUUAGAUACCCUGGUAGUCCACGCAGUAAACGAUGAUUACUAACCGUCGGCGAUAGACCGCCGGUGGCCAAGCGAAAGCGAUAAGUCAUCCACCUGGGGAGUACGACCGCAAGGUUGAAACUCAAAUGAAUUGGCGGGG